AAUUAUCAUAUGCAUGUCUCGCGACGUAGGGUAAGUCGAGCUGCGAAUCCCUGCGGGGCCCGUGGGAGCUUGCCUAAAAUCAGGUAAUUGAGGCUCGCUUUAGCUAAACUAUUCAAGAUAGCGUCGUUUAAAGAACGAGGGUAAGCACGACGUAAAAAAAAA